AGUCUCCCCCGAAGAAGUGAUUACUUAACCUGUGUCCUGCGGAGGACCCUUCUGGCGGGCAGCUGGAAGCCUGUGCACCCGUCUUCAAAUAAUGGCUUUUAAUAGCAGACUGGAACGUUUCGGAUUACAAAGCAAACCGGACCCUUUCAAACCUGGUUAUCUUUGUGAAGUAGCAUUCCACUUAAAAUUGGGAGCCCUUUAAUAACAGAGAGAAAUCAUGUCUAUGAAACUAGAGAAGCUGCUCAGAUAACUGCAAACCAGCCAUCCUUACUGGUUUUACGAGUAGUAGUGUUAUAAAGAAAGUUGUCCAGUUUUAUGAGUCUUGUAGGUUUGUUUUUUUGUUUUUCAAAUACAGUAGUGUACAAAAAGGAAGCAGAAUGUGGUUGCUGUCUCAAUGUAAUGCCUCGCUGGGCCUGAGAAUUUGAAAAUAAAAAAGUUCUCUUCUUUCCCCA
rnacentral:lncRNA from 1 species